rnacentral:rRNA from 1 species
GACGAACGCUGGCGGCGUGCUUAACACAUGCAAGUCGAACGGAAAGGCCCUGCUUUUGUGGGGUGCUCGAGUGGCGAACGGGUGAGUAACACGUGAGUAACCUGCCCUUGACUUUGGGAUAACUUCAGGAAACUGGGGCUAAUACCGGAUAGGAGCUCCUGCUGCAUGGUGGGGGUUGGAAAGUUUCGGCGGUUGGGGAUGGACUCGCGGCUUAUGAGCUUGUUGGUGGGGGAGGGGCUUACCAAGGCUUUGACGGGUAGCCGGCCUGGGAGGGUGACCGGCCACAUUGGUACUGCGAUACGGCCCAGACUCCUACGGGAGGCAGCAGUGGGGAAUAUUGCACAAUGGGCGGAAGCCUGAUGCAGCAACGCCGCGUGCGGGAUGACGGCCUUCGGGUUGUAAACCGCUUUCGCCUGUGACGAAGCGUGAGUGACGGUAAUGGGUAAAGAAGCACCGGCUAACUACGUG